UACAGAGGGUGCAAGCGUUGUUCGGAAUUAUUGGGCGUAAAGGGCGCGUAGGCGGUGCGGUAAGUCUGCGGUGAAAUCUCCCGGCUCAACUGGGAGUCUGCCGUGGAAACUGCCGUGCUUGAGUGUGGGAGAGGUGAGUGGAAUUCCCGGUGUAGCGGUGUAAAUGCGUAGAUAUCGGGGAGGAACACCAGUGGCGAAGGCGACUUCCUGGCCUGUUCUUGACGCUGAGGCGCGAAAGCUAGGGGAGCAAACGGG
rnacentral:rRNA from 1 species